GAUUCUCUGAAUGGCCUAAGCGCGUAUAACUUCAGCGUAGUACAUACAUUACAUAAAUGUACAUACGUGGAGUACGGGAGUCAGUGUACUUGUGUUUUGUAAAUAUAAGUAUAUUAGGCUGGUACUACAGUACUUUAUUAGACACAAAGUUUUGCAUCACAUUCAAAGUAUUUUUCGUUCGUGCUUGACUGUCUUUUUUGCCAUUUAGUACAUAACUGUGCAUUUUCUGGAUAAGUAUUUGUUUAUAUUAGAAAAUAUUACUGUUUAACAUACAUAUGUUCAAUCAAGUCAUUGAGAUUCUGAUCCAGUAAUAGUAGGUACCUAAGUGUUUUCAAUUUCAAACGGUUACUAAAGACAUCGUUAAAACAUCAAUCUAAGAGAGUUUUCUUUUCACAGAUCAAAUUCCUACCAAUAGUAGACACUAGGUAUCGGUCAGCAAUCGUUUAAAAAUGGGAGUAAUCAAAUUACUAUGUGGAUUAGUAGUCAUCAAAGUACUAUGUGGAUUGGGAGUCAUCAAAGUACUAUAUGGAUUGGGAACUGUAGUACUAUGUGGAUUGGGAGCUAUCAAUUCAGUACUAUUAAGGGUUAUAAAUUACAACCACCUCUGGGAAUUUCCAUAUACAAUCAGCCGUAAUGUAAUAAAUCCAGAUGACGGAAGAGAAGAAACUAUUACAGAAACCGGCCGUAUAUCGUAUGUACUUGUACUGCUUAUACCUGUACUGUUCAUACAUGUACUAGACCUAGCAUUGCAAUACUUGGACUACAUUGCACUGUUCGUACUCGUAUUUGUACUAAUCCCAGCAUUUGCACACUAUGGGCCAGUUGUACACCUCUCGAUCAAAUUCUAAUCUAUAGUACCUUAAGUUUACCUAACUCAUUGUUUUUGAUCAGUUAAACUCAGUUCAACAUCUUGAGCAAGAGUCAUACAAUCCACCCUUUCGUCAGCCUUUUUUACAACUACUCGAUCAUCAUCGUUGUUUUUAUCUUAAGAUUUCAUUUAAUAAUUUUUUCCAUUUUGUUUUUAUUUUCUAGACACAGCCUUUAUAUGUGAUAUUUACCUUACAAAUAAAAUCUAUGAAACGUUAA